AGUGAACGCUGGCGGUAGGCCUAACACAUGCAAGUCGAACGGCAGCACAGUAAGAGCUUGCUCUUACGGGUGGCGAGUGGCGGACGGGUGAGGAAUACAUCGGAAUCUACUUUUUCGUGGGGGAUAACGUAGGGAAACUUACGCAAUACCGCAUACGACCUACGGGUGAAAGCAGGGGAUCUUCGGACCUUGCGCGAUUGAAUGAGCCGAUGUCGGAUUAGCUAGUUGGCGGGGUAAAGGCCCACCAAGGCGACGAUCCGUAGCUGGUCUGAGAGGAUGAUCAGCCACACUGGAACUGAGACACGGUCCAGACUCCUACGGGAGGCAGCAGUGGGGAAUAUUGGACAAUGGGCGCAAGCCUGAUCCAGCCAUACCGCGUGGGUGAAGAAGGCCUUCGGGUUGUAAAGCCCUUUUGUUGGGAAAGAAAAGCAGCAGGUUAAUACCCCGCUGUUCUGACGGUACCCAAAGAAUAAGCACCGGCUAACUUCGUG
rnacentral:rRNA from 1 species